AUGUGUCAGAUUUGUCAAAACCACAGCCCAGAAACAACGGAACACAUCUUUUGGCAAUGUCCAUGGACGCGCAAAUUUUGGUCUCAUAUAGCGGUACAAAUCAAACCAACAGAUUAUAAUAUAAAUCGUAUAGAUGCUUGGUUAGCAAAGUUGUUAUGCAAAAAAGAUGCCAUACCUGAUCUGAAAACCCUGGUGCAUAUCCUCUGGCAAAUAUGGAAAUCCAAAAAUCAUUUUAUAUUUCGCAGGGUUGCUCCCGACCCAGCACACCCAGUCCCCCGAACUCAGAUCGGGUGUGGAAGCCUCCAAAUCCUGAAGCGCUCAAGAUCAAUAUAGAUGGAGUUUUUCCCAUUGCACCAAAUGAGGGAUCUGUGGCAUCUAUUUGUUAUGAUCAUUCUGGCCGACUUAUUGACGGGUUUACACACACCGUUUUAGCAACUACGACAUUGCUGACAGAAGCUCAAGCCCUUACACUCACCUUACAAAACCUGCUGCACAAAAGAAUGGAAAAGAAGCAACUCACCGUGGAAUCUGACUAUUGGGUGCUCGUCAAAGCUAUGCAGAAUCCAUGUUCGGCACCAUGGGAAGCUUGUCCACUCAUCUCCGAAGUUACGGCGCUACUCCCUUGCUUCCCUAGGUUAGAGAUCGUGUAUUGCAG
rnacentral:lncRNA from 1 species